rnacentral:tRNA from 1 species
GGGGGGAUUGGACAGGCGGUGAGUCCACCGGGUUGUAACCCCGACGCCAUUAGUGCUUUGCAGGUUCGAUUCCUGUUUCCCCCACCA